rnacentral:rRNA from 1 species
GAUGAACGCUGGCGGCGUGCCUAAUACAUGCAAGUCGAGCGAACAGACGAGGAGCUUGCUCCUCUGACGUUAGCGGCGGACGGGUGAGUAACACGUGGAUAACCUACCUAUAAGACUGGGAUAACUUCGGGAAACCGGAGCUAAUACCGGAUAAUAUAUUGAACCGCAUGGUUCAAUAGUGAAAGACGGUUUUGCUGUCACUUAUAGAUGGAUCCGCGCCGCAUUAGCUAGUUGGUAAGGUAACGGCUUACCAAGGCCACGAUGCGUAGCCGAGCUGAGAGGGUGAUCGGCCACACUGGAACUGAGACACGGUCCAGACUCCUACGGGAGGCAGCAGUAGGGAAUCUUGCGCAAUGGGCGCAAGCUUGACGGAGCAACGCCGCGUGAGUGAUGAAGGUCUUCGGAUCGUAAAACUCUUUUAUUAGGGAAGAACAAAUGUGUAAGUAACUAUUCACGUAUUGACGUUACCUACUCAGAAAGCCCCGGCUAACUACGUG